rnacentral:rRNA from 1 species
AUUGAACGCUGGCGGCAGGCCUAACACAUGCAAGUCGAACGAGUGGCGGACGGGUGAGUAAUGUCUGGGAAACUGCCCGAUGGCGGGGGAUAACUACUGGAAACGGUAGCUAAUACCGCAUACCAUCGGAUGUGCCCAGAUUGGAUUAGCUAGUAGGUGGGGUAAAGGCUCACCAAGACGACGAUCCCUAGCUGGUCUGAGAGGACGACCAGCCACACUGGAACUGAGACACGGCCCAGACUCCUACGGGAGGCAGCAGUGGGGAAUAUUGGACAAUGGGGGCAAGCCUGAUGCAGCCAUGCCGCGUGUAUGAAGAAGGCCUUCGGGUUGUAAAGUACUUUUAGCGGGGAGGCGUUACCUGCAGAAGAAGCACCGGCUAACUACGUGCCAGCAGCCGCGGUAAUUC